AGCGUAUAUUAAAGUUGUUGCCGUUAAAAAGCUCGUAGUCGAACUUCGGGUCCUGUCCGCCGGUCCGCCUUCUUGGUGUGUACUUGUUGGAUGGGACCUUACCUCCUGGUGAACGGCGAUGUCCUUUACUGGGUGUCGUCGCAAACCAGGACGUUUACUUUGAAAAAAUUAGAGUGUUCAAAGCAGGCCUUUGCCCGAAUACAUUAGCAUGGAAUAAUAGAAUAGGACGCGCGUUCCCAUUUUGUUGGUUUCUGAGAUCGCCGUAAUGAUUAAUAGGGAUAGUUGGGGGCAUUUGUAUUCCGACGUCAGAGGUGAAAUUCUUGGAUUGCCGGAAGACAAACUACUGCGAAAGCAUUUGCCAAGGAUGUUUUCAUUGAUCAAGAACGAAGGAAGGGGGAUCGAAAACGAUUAGAUACCGUUGUAGUCUCUUCUGUAAACUAUGCCAAUUGGGGAUCGGCACAGGAUUUUUAAUGACUGUGUCGGCACCCGAAGAGAAAUCUUUAAAUGAGGUUCGGGGGGGAGUAUGGUCGCAAGGCUGAAACUUAAAGGAAUUGACGGAAGGGCACCACCAGGUGUGGAGCCUGCGGCUUAAUUUGACUCAACACGGGGAAACUCACCAGGUCCAGACACAAUAAGGAUUGACAGAUUGAUAGCUCUUUCUUGAUCUUGUGGUUGGUGGUGCAUGGCCGUUCUUAGUUGGUGGAGUGAUUUGUCUGGUUAAUUCCGAUAACGAACGAGACCUUAACCUGCUAAUAGACCAGCCGGCUUUGGCUAGCUGCUGUCUUCUUAGAGGGACUAUCAGCGUUUAGCUGAUGGAAGUUUGAGGCAAUAACAGGUCUGUGAUGCCCUUAGAUGUUCUGGGCCGCACGCGCGCUACACUGACAGAGCCAGCGAGUCUACCACCUUU
rnacentral:rRNA from 1 species